ensembl:lncRNA
CCCCCAAAUAAUUUUCUUAUGUGUAAAAAGCACCAUGAAGCCACAGAUGUUCAUUUCCUUCCUCCGUUAUGUAACCCUUAUACUUCUUAAUUUCUUGUAAAAAGUAAAGUUGCAUGCCCCUGUUUCAUUAACUAUUUGUGAGCAAAGCAGAUCAACAUCCUAAAUUUAGUUGACAAUAAUAGAAAACCCUCUUAAAAUGUAUUCUCUAUUCAAAUUCCCUGUGCUGUGUUGGUGUGCCUAUGCCUCCUGUUUUUACUGAGAAUCCUGAGUUCUUCACGUUCAUUUCUCAGUUUCCUUAUUGUUACCGUCGCAGUAUCGAGACAGUGCUCCAUUCCUGCUUGAGUGUCACCUUGUUGGUCUAUCUCCAGAAACACUGAAGAAAGAGAGAAGCAGAGCAUGUUGUUUUCUGCGCAUACUUGGCAAUGAAUUCUAUUUGCACAGCAGCUGGAGCUGCACUGUACAUCAGUUCCAAAUCCAAACAGCCACGCAUGCCUUCCCACCCAACUUGAGAUAUUUGGGUUUUGGAGUGUAAACUGGAGGUGGGUGAAAUGGCACCAGAGGGACAGUCUGACAGAAUGGUGUCUGACAUGGAGGUCUGGAUGAAUCACAGAACCACAGGAACCAUUUGUGUUGGAAGGGACCUUUAAAGGUCAUCAGUACAACUCCUCCUGCAAUAAGCAGGGACACCUACAGCUCCAUCAGGUGCUCAGAGCCCCAUCCAGCCUGACCUGGAGUGUCUCCAGGGAUGGGGCAUCCACCACCUCUCUGGGCAACCUGUGCCAGUGCCUCACCACCCUGAUUGUAAAAAACUUUUUCCUUACAUGGGUGGUGAAACACUGGAACAAGUUGCCCUGCCUGAAGCAAAGGUGUGGAACUGAAUUCCUUCAUGUGUAAAAAAU